GGCUUUAUAGCUCAGGUGGUGAGAGCGACGGCUGUACUAAGCGUUUGCUAUCGUGGGUUUGAAUCCCACCACGGCUG
rnacentral:tRNA from 1 species